UUAGAUACCCUGGUAAGUCCACGCUGUAAACCGAUGUCGAUUUGGAGGUUGUACCCUUGGAGGCGUGGGCUUCCGAGCUACGCGGUUAAAUCGACCGCCUGGGGAGUACGGCCGCAAGGUUAAAACUCAAAUGAAUUGACGGGGGCCCGCACAAGCGGUGGAGCAUGUGGUUUAAUUCGAUGCAACGCGAAGAACCUUACCUACUCUUGACAUGCAGAGAACUAUCCAGAGAUGGAUUGGUGCCUUCGGGAACUCUGAGACAGGUGCUGCAUGGCUGUCGUCAGCUCGUGUUGUGAAAUGUUGGGUUAAGUCCCGCAACGAGCGCAACCCUUAUCCUUUGUUGCCAGCGGUUCGGCCGGGAACUCAAAGGAGACUGCCAGUGAUAAACUGGAGGAAGGUGGGGAUGACGUCAAGUCAUCAUGGCCCUUACGAGUAGGGCUACACACGUGCUACAAUGGCAUAUACAAAGAGAAGCGACCUCGCGAGAGCAAGCGGACCUCAUAAAGUAAUGUCGUAGUCCGGAUUGGAGUCUGCAACUCGACUCCAUGAAGUCGGAAUCGCUAGUAAUCGUAGA
rnacentral:rRNA from 1 species